AGCUAGUAGAUAGAUCACUUAAGGCCGUGUAGGACCUGGUAAGAAACAGGAGUUUUAGUCUAUGCGUAAUGAGUAGGAGAGGUUUAAAGCAGAAGAGUACAUAAUCUGACUUUUGGUUUAAAAGUCUCAACCUUGGUGGAUAUGGAUUUAACAAGCUACCGGGGUCAGGAAAGAGGACAGAAUCCUGAGUUAAGAAGUAACUGUAGUAAUCUAGGAAAGAGAUCAGGAAUAUUUAAACUAAGGAGGAAGUGAAUCCACCAGCAACAGUGCCUGCUGACAGGCAUUAUGGCUUAAUUCUCCCAGGAAACCCUGGCUGAGAACGUCUACGGGAUCAAGUCUAAUCUCCUCAAAAUGAAACAGAAGAUCAUUUACAUGCCAUAGACGUCUCCACCUUAUUUCUUGAGACUUCUCUUCCCUUCUUCCUAUAUCAAGCUACCUACAAUUUCCUUAAUGCCGAGCCUAUUUCCAACUUCUUUGUUUGGAAUUCC